ACCCAGGAACGUGUAACAGGUCUGGAUUCUUGAAGUGAGAGAGAGAAAGAAAAUCAAACUUGCAGUACAGGAGGGCUGAAAAUUGAUUGGCUGGAGAAGACAAGUCAUAACCAGACAAGACAGUUUUCAUAAUCAAUUUAUAAGUUUCUUGUCGAGAGGGCACGUACAGGUGAAGAGCAGCCCAACCUCCUGCUGCCCAGCCGGUUCAAGCAAGAUGCCCUGGAGCUUGAGCUGACACGUUCAACCGGACAAGGAGAGGCGGGAGUGCCAGAUGAAGAUAAGAGUGCAGUGCACGGAGGUUUGCCAGCAGGCGUGUGCUCUUUGGACCCCAGAGGACCACCCCUGAUGCCAGAGGACCACCAAGCUUCUGUUGUACCUGCAUUACAGCCGUUCUCUGAAGCAGGCACCAGUGCAGAUACCAGCAUCUUGAUGGGCAUUAGAUUGGCGGCUAGAAUGUGCACAUUCACUUCACACUCGCUUGAAGUGCAGGCAGAGGCAGAG